UACGAUAGAGGUCGCGUGAUUCAACAGUAUACAGCAGGAUGUGUUCGGCCACAGGUGAUUGCUGAGGAAAGGGGAGAACGCCGAAAGAGAGCAGAGCCGUGUUCUGUGAUCUUGGGCAUAUGGUGAAGAACCAUAUGACUGUCAUCGCGCUGCGAUGGAGGGCUAUCUGAA
rnacentral:ncRNA from 1 species